AGGAAAAAAAAGAAAUGAGGACAUCGCAGAGGACACAUUUACUUCAGUAGUUGAAGGCUGUCUCAUAUGAUAAGCAUCAUAACCUAUGAAACUCUGUCACAUCCUAGAACCAUGGUGCUGGACAACAGAACAAAUACUGAUUAGCCAUUGGUGACUGAAAUUCUGGCUCCAUCCCAAGACAGUCUUCCAGUGAGUGAAGCUACAUAAGAGCAUUGCUAGAAGGGCUCACAGCAGUAGAAGGAGAAUGCUCUGCAGUGAUGCAGGGUAAUCAAGGUGUUGGAUGAGACCCCA